rnacentral:rRNA from 1 species
UGGGGAAUAUUGGACAAUGGGCGCAAGCCUGAUCCAGCUAUGCCGCGUGAAUGAUGAAGGCCUUAGGGUUGUAAAGUUCUUUUAGUAGGGAAGAUAAUGACGGUACCUACAGAAAAAGCUCCGGCUAACUUCGUGCCAGCAGCCGCGGUAAUACGAAGGGAGCUAGCGUUGUUCGGAAUUACUGGGCGUAAAGCGCGCGUAGGCGGUUUAUUAAGCUAGGAGUAAAAGCCCAAGGCUCAACCUUGGAACUGCUCUUAGAACUGAUUGACUAGAGACUGAUAGGGGGUGAUGGAAUUCCUAGUGUAGAGGUGAAAUUCUUAGAUAUUAGGAGGAACACCGGUGGCGAAAGCGAUCACCUGGGUCAGAUCUGACGCUGAGGCGCGAAAGCGUGGGGAGCAAA